UGAGGAAUAUUGCACAAUGGGCGCAAGCCUGAUGCAGCGACGCCGCGUGGGUGAAGAAGGUCUUCGGAUCGUAAAGCCCUUUUCUGCGUGACGAGAGAGGACGGUAGCGCAGGAAUAAGUCUCGGCUAACUACGUGC
rnacentral:rRNA from 1 species